rnacentral:rRNA from 1 species
CAGUACUGUUGACACGAGUUGUUGCUGGUCCUCGAAAGGGGGCAUGUGCACACUCUGUUUGCAAAUCCAUUCACAANUGUGCACAUUCUGUAGUUCUAUGCUGUCUUUCAGCAGUAGUUCUGCAUCUUUACACACACACACACACACACCAAUAAGUCUAAUGGGAUGCAUAUGGCGUUUAACGCAAUACAAUACAACUUUCAGCAACGGAUCUCUUGGCUCUCGCAUCGAUGAAGAACGCAGCGAAAUGCGAUAAGUAAUGUGAAUUGCAGAAUUCAGUGAAUCAUCGAAUCUUUGAACGCACCUUGCGCCCUUUGGCUAUUCGGAAGGGCAUGCCUGUUUGAGUAUCAUAAACACCUCAACCCCUCAUGGUUNNUCUACCAUGAUGGGCUUGGACUUUGGGGGUCUUGCUGGAUCAUAGUCAGCUCCCCUUAAAUGAAUCAGCUUGCCAGUGUUCGGUGGCAUCACAGGUGUGAUAACUAUCUACACUUGUGGUUUACAUCCAAUUAACCUUCAGAGAUGGGGGUUCGCUGGGGCUNAUAAAGGUCUCUCCUCUAUGGG